rnacentral:rRNA from 1 species
AUGAACGCUAGCGGCAGGCUUAACACAUGCAAGUCGAGGGGCAGCACAAGUAGCAAUACUGGGUGGCGACCGGCGCAAGGGUGCGUAACGCGUGAGCAACAUGCCCGUAUCAGGGGGAUAAUCCAUGGAAACGUGGUCUAAUACCCCAUAGUAAGUUUUGAGGCAUCUCAAGGAUUUUAAAGCUUUGGUGGAUACGGAUUGGCUCGCGUGACAUUAGCUGGAUGGUAGGGUAACGGCUUACCAUGGCUACGAUGUCUAGGGGUUCUGAGAGGAAGGUCCCCCACACUGGAACUGAGACACGGUCCAGACUCCUACGGGAGGCAGCAGUGAGGAAUAUUGGACAAUGGAUGGAAAUCUGAUCCAGCCAUGCCGCGUGCAGGAAGACGGCCCUAUGGGUUGUAAACUGCUUUUGUAUGGGAGCAAUAAGAUCUACGUGUAGAUUGAUGAGAGUACCAUACGAAUAAGCACCGGCUAACUCCGUG